rnacentral:rRNA from 1 species
UACGUAGGGAGCAAGCGUUGUCCGGAAUCAUUGGGCGUAAAGCGCGCGUAGGCGGCCCCGUAAGUCCGCUGUGAAAGUCAAAGGCUCAACCUUUGAAAGCCGGUGGAUACUGUGGGGCUAGAGUCCGGAAGAGGCGAGUGGAAUUCCUGGUGUAGCGGUGAAAUGCGCAGAUAUCAGGAGGAACACCGGUGGCGAAGGCGGGUCUCUGGGCCGAUACUGACGCUGAGGAGCGAAAGCGUGGGGAGCGAACAGG